rnacentral:rRNA from 1 species
UACGGAGGGGGCUAGCGUUGUUCGGAAUUACUGGGCGUAAAGGGCGCGCAGGCGGCUGCUCAAGUCAGGCGUGAAAGGCCUGGGCUCAACCCGGGAAUUGCGCUUGAGACUGGGCUGGCUUGAGUGCGGGAGAGGAUGGUGGAAUUCCCAGUGUAGAGGUGAAAUUCGUAGAUAUCGGAAGGAACAUCAGUGGCGAAGGCGACCUCCUGGACCAAUACUGACACUCAAGUGCGAAAGCGUGGGGAGCAAACAGG